rnacentral:lncRNA from 1 species
UUUUGCACACUGACAAGAAUCCAGAGCGUCAAUUUUAUACAUGCCCUCGUACUUCGGUAAUUUUUCAAUUUUCAUUAAUGUUUAUAGUGUUCGUAUGUAGUGGAAUCAACCCCAUUAACUGCUUCAAAUCUAUCCAUAUGACGCACAAACAUAGCAAAUUCUUCACUGUAAGAAGCAAAAAAGUAAAACCUAAAUCAGCAACUAACCAUCGAAAACAUGCAUUACACAAGAUGUUUCACAAUAAACCAACAUGCAAUACAACACUAACCAUCAACUAAAGCAAAAAAAUCAAACCCAAAAAACACUCUUUCAGUGCACCCUUACGGAUUAGACAUCGCCGACGAUGAUGAAGACACUUGCAACACAGCUUUCAACGGAAACAAUGCGUGCUUCUUCUUCCUCAGACGACGAUGAAACACAAGGGUGGAAGGAGACGACUGUUCAAUUUUUGCCUUUAAAAAUAUUUCUUCAAAUUUCAUUGUAUAAUAAAGUUAUUUAAUUCAGGAUCAAAACGGCGACGCUUUGGGCUUCAUUUAAUGACUUAGCAUAAGUGUGCCACGUAGGGAGACACGUCAUGUAAUUAGUGGUCCGAAAACAUCAUUAGGAGAAAAUUAAUAAUCGAAGCAGCAGUCAUAGAUUUUAACGCGAAAUUUUUAAGUCAGGGGAAAAAUGAGAAUUGCGCUAAUUUUCAUAGAUUUUGGCGCUAUUUAUCUUAAAUUAUUGUGUGCGUCCACAUUUUUAUUAUUAUUACUUUGGAGAAGUGGAGCGAUAGGAUUCGAACCUUAAAUUUCGUUACCGAUAAAUUGAAAUCACCAGCUAUAUAGCUAGAAUGUCUGUUUGAGAACAAAAAUUAUAAUGCAUGGACAAUUUUAAUCACUCUUUAAAUAUUAUAUCGUGUUGUUAUGCAAGCAUAGUACAAAAUUGAAUCGUUAUGAUUAGUUGGGAUCCACCAAUUAAUGUGCGAUAACCAUAAAUGUGUAACCAAAUUAUUGUACCAUGAUAUGUCUGUCUUUUUAUUCCAACAACUGUGACAUUCAUGCUUUUGUCCAUGUUGCAUAUGCAUUCAAGAUUAUUAUAUUUGCUACUAUUUUCUUUUUAGAUCAUAGAUUGCAUGUGGACUUUUCCAAUCAUUUUCAAUAUCUGUGAUCCCACAAUCUAUUAUUAAUUCCACUUAUUAUAAAAUUAAGUACGCGGCCCUAAUACCAUGAAGGUGCAUUUGAUGUAUUAUUAAUUCCACUUAUUCAACAAUUAAGUACGCGGCCCUACCAUAAAGGUGCAUUUGAUGAUUUUAUGGAGGUGAUUGAUAAGAUUGAUAGAGUUGAAAAUUGAUUCAAUAUUUAAUUUAAUUUAAUUUUAACAUGAUAAAUAAUUAUAUAAUUGAAUGAUUAUAGUGUGGAUUGAGUUAUUCAUUAUCGAGUGAAUUAUAAAAUUUAAUAUUUGAUUAAAUUGAAUUAUUUUAUUUUAUCAAUCAUGUCUUAUCCCUGGAAUCAAAUAUUUUCUAAUAGUUGUCUCAAAAACUAAAUUUAUCAUUAAUACAUACUACACACACAUAUAUGUAUAGGAUUUUAUAUUUUUAGGUCAAAUAUCAUUUUAUAAAUCCUAAAUUAUUUUUUAUAUUAUCAAUUAUAUUUUGAGCUAUCGAAAAUACUUUUUAAUCAAGAACUAUUGAUUUUAUAUUAAUUGUACCCUCCAAUCAUUUUUCAAUUUCGAAAAAAUGGUCGUGGCUCGCCGAAUAUCACUGUGUAUCUAAAAUUGUUCCUUUUUCACUUACAUUUAUGUCAAAAAAUGACUGGUUCUAUUGUUACAAAGAAGGGUUGUUGAAGAUUUCUUUUUUCAAUUAAUAAGGCAGAAAUUGACUUCGUUCUUUGCCAUUUAAGUUAAAAAAGAAUAAUUUUAAAUAUAUCGUGUCAUCGACACAAAAAAUUGAUAGUUUAUGAUUAAUUAAAAGAAUAUUUUCAAAUAAUUAGUAGAUUAUUUGCAUUCCCACUUUUCCCUCAAGGUGCAUUCAUCGAUAUUUGAAACUAGUGUCGCUUCCGACAUGAACUGAGAAGGAUGUUGGACAAGUAUAUUUUUACGGGACUGAGGGAGUAUAAAAAUGCCAAAGUAUCUUUUCUCGAUGAAGAUCCAUAUAUGAAUAAUGCAUUUUUUUUGUUUUUGUUUUUUUUUUUUUGCGUUUUUUUUUCUUUCCAAAAGAUUCAAAGUUCUGAAAUGAUAAUUAGAUUUUGAACUUUGAUUUGGUUAAAAUAUGGUGCAUAAACCUAAUUUUCAUUGUCGUAUAAUAAAGUUCAAACUAUAUAUGGAUAUUCUUAAACGUACAUAACACAAGAUUCGAAGCUUUAUCUUACAAAAAACGAAAUCAAAGUUUCAAGAACUCUAGCUACACCAAAUAAAAAUCUUAGGGCCGGUCUUGCAUGCGGCGGUCGCACUCCAGUGCGACGAGUUCGCCCCGACCCGACCCGUGCCCAGACCCAAAAUCCUGAAUCCUAAAUUAUUACAUUUGUUUAUAAUAAUUAAUACUUUUAAUAAGAAUGAAAUAUACAUUUGUUCGCACAAAUGUAUACUUAUAUAAAUAUAGGUAUUUAAUUACCUUCAUUUAAUAUAAAGUAUUAUAUUUUCUAAACCCUAAAUUCUAUAAACUAAACCCUAAACCUUGUAAACUAAACCCUAAGCCUGAACACUAAACCCUAAUAGGAGUAUUUACUUUUAAUAAGCAUAAGAUAUACAUUUGGUCGCACAAAUGUAUACUUAUAUUAAUAUAAAUAUUUACCUUCAUUCAAUAUAAAACAUUAUACAUAUCAAUAUACAUUUAUAUGAACAAAUGUAUAUAUUAUGUUUAUAAAAAGUAAUAAUUAUUAUAAACAAAUGCAAUAAUUAGGAGUAUGAGUCAAACUAACGCGGGUCAGGGUUCCGGGUCAGGAGGGCGGGUUUGGAGCCGGGUCGACCCGUCGCACACCUGUGCGACGGUCGCACCCAAUAAUCUGCGUUAUAAUUCUAUUUUGAAAAACAACACAAAACCUUACGGACUUAUUUAUACUUUAUUAUACCUAUAAAUUACAGUUUUUAAUUACAACGUAAUCCUCAUACCUAUAUAUAUAUGGGUGAGCUAAAACGAAAACACAACUUAAAAUAUAAUAUGAAUCAUUUUCAGCUUUUAUAUCAAUAUUUAUCUAGAUAGGGUGAAUUUUUACCUGAGUUCAAAUUCUGAAGGGAGCGAAAAUUUUAUCAAUUAAUUGAAUAUCGUUAUUCAGUCAUUACAAACAGCUUAUGCAAUACUAUAUACUCACUUAUUUAUUAUUCUUAUUUCUUAUUAAAAAAAUAGCAUUCUCAUUGUAACCUAACUCUAGAUAUAGAUGACGGGGGAAAUCUACAAUAGUAUGCACUGAAUAAAUCUAACUCUAGAUACAGAUGACGAGAGAAAUCUUCAAUAGUAUGCACUGAAUAAAUCUCGGUCGAACGCAAUAGCCUGCAAAAUCAAGUAUGACAUGUUCGAUUUAAUUAGAAAGUGUUGGAUUUUAGGUGUUUUAGUUUGGUAAAAAUUGAGAUUGGAGAAGCUAUAGUUCCAUGAGCAUUAAAGGUAGAUGGCAUGCAAUUGAGAAGCACAUUAAAUCCGAUGAUAAGUUACCGUUAAAAUGGUAGUUGAAAUGGGCCAGCUGAGGAUAAGGUGUAGCCCAAUAAAGGCCCAUAAUAAUUUCCACAAUAAAUAGGCAGUACCGACAUCUCACGUGAUCUUUUACGGUUUUACCCAACAACAAGAAAUGGCGUAGGACCCAACCACCCUUUUGCACUUUUUAAAACCAAUUAUCAGAUUAUUUCAUUUUGUUAUUAGCCAUUUGUGUAAUCUACUCUGAUUUAACAAUUCAUGGGAUUGGGCAAGCCACAUAUUCUGAAAGGCUAAGCAUGCAUUUUCAAAUGUAGACAAAUGCAUUGAUUGAUCAUAAAAACUGUCAGUAUCAUAGGAUCGGUCAAAUUGAAAACUUGAAUGCCAGCAAAAUCACUGAUUUUUAUUUAUUUUUUUAUAUAAAAAAUGGGUUUAUUACAUUAGUAAAAGUUUGGAAACAGCCAAAUUUGAGUUGAUUAUGAUAUUUAGGAAAGCCGCCAGAUUUUUGUUGAGUACAAUAUUCUAGAGGGUCGCAGACACUUCCAGAAUUUAGUAGUAUUGCAAAUAAAUGUAUUGCUGCUAUAAACGUGUGCAUUAUAUCUAUAAUAAAUAAUUACAUAUGGAUGUUAUUUAUUUUGAUAAAAGAUAAAACUCUUUUUGUUAAAAACGUAUGCACCCGUUUAAAAAAAUCUGAAGAUAUAAAAUAGGAGUAUAUUUUAUCUAUUUUAUAAAUAUUUUAUUUAAAUUCGAAACUUUGACGUGCAUCAUACAACUAGGUAAUUACUAAAAAGAGAACCAUACAAAUGCUUAGCUGGCUGGAGAAGUAAUCUUUUAUUUGAUUGAAUUAAUGUCUACCGAACUUUUCAUAGAAUUGAAAUGGCGAUGAAAUUAAUGCAUCCUUAAACCCCAAAUGAGGAAAUGAGUGAUGAUAAAUAGUCAUUGUGGCUGCCCAUAUAUUAAUUAAAUAAAGGACCUUGCUAUUUGGAUCAAUUUGAUCCGGAUCAAAUCAAAAAAUUUAUUACAUUUCAAUAUAAAAAGACAUUUUUACCCUUUAUGUAUUUUAUAUUUUAUAAUUUAAUGUAUUAAUUAUAUAUGUGUGUGUAUAUUGGGAACAUUAAUUUCAUUAAAUAUUUUUAUAUUUUCAAUGAAAAUUUUGACUAAUUUACAAUGUAUUUUGUAACAAACAUGAAUCUUUUUAUUUUCAUGACAUCUGUACGUUUUUUUUUUUUGUUAACAUGAUUUCUUUAUUUUGUUAACAUGAUUUCUUUUUGUAAACACGCCUUUUACUUACUUUAAUUUUAAAGCCAAAAAAUAUUGUAUUUUCUUGUUGACCAAAAUUUAGAGGAAACGAAUCAUAAUUGAAUAACCAAUUAUUUCAUUGGCAUUUGAUCGAUAAAUAUAAACAAUUUCAUGAUUAUGUUUUUUACUUAUGUAAUUUGUCGAAAAUAAAUUAUAUUGUAUUAAAUACAAUUAAUUCAUAUUUUUUCAUUUAUUAACUAAUACUUAAUUUUUUAUAUUUGUCAAAAAAAUUGAGCUUACUUUAAUAUAUAUAAAAACAUGAAAUCGAAUUGUCACUUCUUGUCCAAUUGCUACAAUUGAAGUAUAUAUAGUUUCGUCACUAAUAUAUAUGAAUAACAACUUACCUUUAGUGAUCGCCAAUUAAUUUUAAAAUGUAUUGUAUAAUUUUGAUACCUUUUUUUGGAUUUCUUAAUACAUUAAAAAAAUUUAAACUACAAAUAAAGUGUCAAAAUUUAAUAAGGGCCCGAAACGACUGAAGCCUUCGAACAAAAACACGAAGCUCUUUUCUUAACUCUUGUAAAAUUUUCAUUUAGAAAACACCACUAUUUUUUUUGUUAUAUUUGUCUUCAAUUAAUUUUGUUGAAAGUCAUUUGUUUAUAAUUCUAUAGUGAUUGUAUUAGUUUUGUAUUUCUUAAUGUUGUAACUUGACGAAAAUAAACUAUACUUUGUUAAAUAUAAUUAAUUCAUCAUUUUUACUAAUAACUAUAAACAAAGAGUCCAAUUUUUUGUCAAGGACAGAGGCCUCAAGUUAUCGUAGAUCGUCCUUGCAUAUAUAUACAUUUUUAAAUAUUUCAAAACACAUGCACACAUGAGUCGAUCAACUGAAUAAGAUUGGAUGAGAAGCGUCUUAUCAAUUGAACUGCGUUUCAUUAUCAUUUAUAUACAUUUUUUUUCAAAGAAAUUUAUAUAUAUAGUGACUGUCUUAGUUUUAUAUUUUAAAUUUAUGUAAUUUGNCGGAUGCAGAGGCGUUUGAUGAUCGUAUCGAAAGACUCCAGUUCUGAUCUUCUGAACUGUAUCCCGCUCAGCUUUCACCGUUGGAUGGACAACGAACUAUGAAAGUACCAAGCUAGAAAUCUCCUACACGUUUCCUGCGCCUCCCAUAGCUCUCAAAACCCUAAUUUUAUCAGUGUGUCUUUUCUGAGAGCUGACAGCUGUAUUUGAUAAUAAAAGAAAGAGAGAGAAAAAGAGCAGGCAGAAAUAGCCAAGCGUGAUGACGACGUCGCCGGGGUAGUGGAACGUCUGAGCGGAGCUGAGGCAGAAAUUGCUGAGUUGAAGGCCAAGCUGGCCCAAGUAGAGGUGGAAAAGUCGUCCCUGGCCUCCGAACUGACAAGGGUGACGAGGGAGAGCCAUGAGAGCCUUAUCAGAUUCAAGGCGGGGUACGAAAAAGACUACAGGGAAGCCAGGCGUGACUGGAGGAAAACACUUGUGGAAGCACAGAACCGUGCUUAUGUCCUAGGGGCGCGACCAGUAAAUUUAGUCGGGUUUUGGAGAGCUGUGGGCGCAGGAAACGUGAGGAGCUUGAGUCAGUUUUUCGCAGGAAAUCAAGUUCUGGCAGUUUCGGGAGAACGGCCAUAACUUCCUCCACAGAACUCCGAUUCAGGUGAAACAGGCGGCCACGGAAAGCUCUCUCGAAGACAAAGAAGUCGUAUUUCUGGGCGAAAUACGAUUUGAGGACGUUUGAGGCUUCAAACGAAGGCUUGAAGCUGACUGGUCUGUUCAGCUGCGAGUUUGACGAAAACUUUGAAAUUUCAAGAGUUCAUAUAGGGAUGCGUUGGUAGAAAUCAUCAAAGGGAGUUAUCAAUUUCAAGAAUUAGGUGAGGGAUUUUACGCUUAUUCAUAUGGUUAUAUAUGUUUUUAUAUCGCGUUUGAUUACUUGUUUACGUGCAUCUUAUGUCUAGGUUGUUAUGUGUGAUCAUGAGACCUAAGCCAUUGAUCUAUGUUAUGUGUGAUCAUGGGACCUAAGCCAUUGAUCGAUCAUGGGACCUAAGCCAUUGAUUUAUGUUAUGUGUGAUCAUGGGACCUAAGCCAUUGAUCCGAUCAGUGGACCUAAGUCCAUUGAUUUAUGUUAUGUGCGAUCAUGGGACCUAAGCCAUUGAUCUAUGUUAUGUGCGAUCAUGGGACCUAAGCCAUUGAUCUAUGUUAUGUGCGAUCAUGGGACCUAAGCCAUUGAUCUAUGUAUGUGUUUGGUCAUGGGACUUAAGCCAUCGACUCAAACUAUGAUUAUGUUUGUCAAGGGGCUCCGGUCUCUUGGCGUAUGUUUGCAAGUAUGAUAAUGUGAUUUGAUUAUAUAUGUGACGUAUGUGGAUAUUUGUUAUGUUCCUCACUGAGUAUAUUUUCAAUAUGCUCACCCCUUAUCGUUUCAGUUUUGCAGUUUCAGAGUCGAAGUGGCCAUGGAAGUGGAGAAUGACUAGGGAUAAGGAUUUCUUUUACAUUGGACAUUUUAGUUGAACCUAUUAAGUUUUAUUUUAUUUUCAUGUUACUACUUUAGUUUUGACAAGUUGACUUUGAAAUUAGUUUAAAUUUUCUUUAUAAAUCAAUAAAUUUUAUUUUCAUUAUAUUAGUUCUUCAAAGUUUUUAAUUUGAAAAGUUUAUGAAAAUUGGGGUGUUACAACCAUAGUACAAAAUUGAAUCGUUAUGAUUAGUUGGGAUCCACCAAUUAAUGUGCGCUGAUAUUGUACCAUGAUAUGUCUGUCUUUUUAUUCCAACAACUGUGACAUUCAUGCUUUUGUCCAUGUUGCAUAUGCAUUCAAGAUAUUAUAUUUGCUAUUUUCUUUUUAGAUCAUAGAUUGCAUGUGGACUUUUCCAAUCAUUUUCAAUAUCUGUGAUCCCACAAUCUAUUAUUAAUUCCACUUAUUAUAAAAUUAAGUACGCGGCCCUAAUACCAUAAAGGUGCAUUUGAUGAUUUUACGGAGUUGAUUGUUAAGAUUGAUAGAGUUGAAAAUUGAUUCAAUAUUUAAUUUAAUUUAAUUUUAACAUGAUAAAUAAUUAUAUAAUUGAAUGAUUAUAGAGUGGAUUGAGUUAUUUAUUAUCGGGUGAAUCAUACAAUUUAAUAUUUGAUUAAAUUGAAUUAUUUUAUUUUAUCGAUCAUGUCUUAUCCCCUCGAACCAAAUAUUUUCUAAUAGUUGUCUCAAAAACUAAAUUUAUCAUUAAUACAUACUGCACACACACACACAUAUAUAUGUAUAGGAUUUUAUAUUUUUAGGUUAAAUAUCAUUUUAUAAAUCAUAAAUUAUUUUUUAUAUUAUCAAUUAUAUCUUGAGCUAUCGAAAAUACUUUUUAAUCAUGAACUAUUGAUUUUAUAUUAAUUGUACCCUCCAAUCAUUUUUCAAUUUCGAAAAAAUGGUCGUGGCUCGCCGAAUAACACUGUGUAUCUAAAAUUGUUCCUUUUUCACUUACAUUUAUGUCAAAAAAUGACUGGUUCUAUAUUAGAAAGAAGGGUUGUUGAAGAUUUCGUUUUUCAAUUAAUAAUUAAGGCAGAAAAUGACUUCGUUUUUUGCCAUUUAAGUUAAAAAAGAAUAAUUUUAAAUAUAUCUUGUCAUCUAGCGAAUCACGUCAAAUUUCGGAGCUAAAAAAUGGACGGAGAGUAUAAUCGACACAAAAAAUGGAUAGUUUAUAAUUUAAAAGAAUAUUUUCAAAUAAUUAGUAGAUUAUUUGCAUUCCCACUUUUCCCUCAAGAUGCAUUCAUCGAUUUUUGAAACUAGUGUCGCUUCCGACAUGAACUGAGAAGGAUGUUGGACAAGUAUAUUUUUACGGUGCUGAGGGAGUAUAAGAAUGCCAAAGUAUCUUUUCUUGAUGAAGAUACAUAUAUGAAUAAUGCAUAUUUUUUUUUAUUUUUUUUGCGUUUUUUUUUUUUCAAAAGAUUCAAAGUUCUGAAAUGAUAAUUAGAUUUUGAACUUUGUGGUUAAAAUAUGGUGCAUAAACCUAAUUUACAUUGUCGUAUAAUAAAGUUCAACUAUAUAUGGAUAUUCUUAAACGUACAUAACACAAGAUUCGAAGCAUUAUCUUACAAAAAACGAAAGUUUAGAAGUCAGACCCCAUGACAUAAUCAAAGUUUCAAGAACUCUAGCUACACCAAAUAAAAAUCUUAUAAUUCUAUUUUGAAAAACAACACAAAACCUUACGGACUUAUUUAUACUGUAUUAUACCUAUAAAUUACAGUUUUUAAUUACAGCAUAAUCCUCAUACCUAUAUAUAUAUAUGGGUGAGCUAAAACAAAAACACAACUUAAAAUAUAAAAUAUGAAUCAUUUCAGCUUUUAUAUCAAUAUUUAUCUGGAUAGGGUGAAUUUUUACCUAAGUUCAAAUUCUAAAGGGAGCGAAAAUUUUAUAAAUUAAUUGAAUAUCGUUAUUCAGUCAUUACAAACAGCUUAUGCAACAUUAUAUAUAUACUGACUUAUUUAUUAUUCUUAUUUCUUAUUAAAAAAAUAGCAUUCUCACUGUAACCUAACUCUAGAUAUAGAUGACGAGGGAAAUCUACAAUAGUAUGCACUGAAUAAAUCUAACUGUAGAUAUAGAUGACGAGAGAAAUCUACAAUAGUAUGCACUGAAUAAAUCUCGGUCGAACGCAAUAGCCUGCAAAAUCAAGUAUGACAUGUACGAUUUAAUUAGAAAGUGUUGGAUUUGAGAUGUUUUAGGUUGGUAAAAGUUGAGAUUGGAGAAGCUAUAGUUCCAUGAGCAUUAAAGGUAGAUGGCAUGCAAUUGAGAAGCACAUUAAAUCCGAUGAUAAGUUACCGUUAAAAUGGUAGUUGAAAUGGGCCAGCUGAGGAUAAGGUGUAGCCCAAUAAAGGCCCAUAAUAAUUUCCACAAUAAAUAGGCAGUACCGACAUCUCACGUGAUCUUUUACGGUUUUACCCAACAACAAGAAAUGGCGUAGGACCCAACCACCCUUUUGCACUUUUUAAAACCAAUUAUCAGAUUAUUUCAUUUUGUUAUUAGCCAUUUGUGUAAUCUACUCUGAUUUAACAAUUCAUGGGAUUGGGCAAGCCACAUAUUCUGAAAGGCUAAGCAUGCAUUUUCAAAUGUAGACAAAUGCAUUGAUUGAUCAUAAAAACUGUCAGUAUCAUAGGAUCGGUCAAAUUGAAAACUUGAAUGCCAGCAAAAUCACUGAUUUUUAUUUUAUUUUUUUAUAUAAAAAAUGGGUUUAUUACAUUAGUAAAAGUUUGGAAACAGCCAAAUUUGAGUUGAUUAUGAUAUUUAGGAAAGCCGCCAGAUUUUUGUUGAGUACAAUAUUCUAGAGGGUCGCAGACACUUCCAGAAUUUAGUAGUAUUGCAAAUAAAUGUAUUGCUGCUAUAAACGUGUGCAUUAUAUCUAUAAUAAAUAAUUACAUAUGGAUGUUAUUUAUUUUGAUAAAAGAUAAAACUCUUUUUGUUUAAAACCUAUGCAUGCACCCGUUCAAAAAAAAUCUAAAGAUAUAAAAUAGGAGUAUAUUUUAUCUAUUUUAUAAAUAUUUUAUUUAAAUUCGAAACUUUGACGUGCAUCAUACAACUAGGUAAUUACUAAAAAAGAGAACCGUACAAAUGCUUAGCUGGCUGGAGAAGUAAUCUUUUAUUUGAUUGAAUUAAUGUCUACCGAACUUUUCAUAGAAUUGAAAUGGCGAUGAAAUUAAUGCAUCCUUAAACCCCAAAUGAGGAAAUGAGUGAUGAUAAAUAGUCACAUUGUGGCUGCCCAUAUAUUAAUUAAAUAAAAACAUACUCCUAUUUAUUUAAUUUAUUUUUAGUAAAAAAAUUUAAUUAUUUACAAUAAUAUUCACAUUAUAUUUAUUUAUUUUAUAGCUAUAAUAGGUAUAAUAUAGUAAACUAAUGAAAACUUUUAUAUUAAAAAUAAUAAACUAAUUAAUCUUGUACGAUAAAAAAUGAAAUUACCCUAAUAAAUAAAGAAAAAAUCAUAAUAAUAGGGGUGAGCAGCGGGUUGGACCCGAACCGAUCCGUCAAAUUUGAUGGACCGAAAAUUUUAAAAUUUUGGACCAACCCGGACUGAAUUCUAAGAGUGGACCGAUCCAAGACCGGACCGGAACAACGGGUCCGAUUCGAUCCGGAUACGACCCACUGACAAUGUAUUUUUUUCCCCAAUCUUUAAGCACAAUAUCUACUAUUCAAUAGUAGUAUACUUACUGGAGGCGGCCGUUGGCUCGGCGACGGAGGCGAGGGGUGAUCACGGGGUCACCGGGGUGGCUGCUACUGUUCGGGGCGGCGAGGAGGGCCUGUUGCGCAGCUGCGAGAUGGUUGCAUCUGGGGCUUGGGUGUAGCUUCAGGCGAGUGGCGACAGGCGGAGGGAAGGCUCGGCGGCGAGGGGUGGUCGUGGGGUCACUGGCGUGGGCCUGCUGCGAGUCUGGAUAUAGAGCGAAGGGAAGGCUCGGCGCGAGUCUGGAGACAAAGAGGGUCCGCACCGUCCGACGCAAGGCUGGGCGGAGGUCCGGUCCAGUACGGUGCUGGGCGACGGGUUUGAGUGGGUGGGGUGGCAGCGGCGGCCAGAGUUAGGGGCAAAGACAGAUUCAGUUCAAAACUUUAAAAGUAUUGAGUUACCGGUUUCCAUUUCGGUUAC